GAUGAACGCUGGCGGCGUGCCUAAUACAUGCAAGUCGAGCGAACGGACGAGAAGCUUGCUUCUCUGAUGCUAGCGGCGGACGGGUGAGUAACACGUGGAUAACCUACCUAUAAGACUGGGAUAACUUCGGGAAACCGUAGCUAAUACCGGAUAAUAUUUUGAACCGCAUGGUUCAAAAGUGAAAGACGGUCUUGCUGUCACUUAUAGAUGGGUCCGCGCUGCAUUAGCUAGUUGGUAAGGUAACGGCUUACCAAGGCAACGAUGCAUAGCCGACCUGAGAGGGUGAUCGGCCACACUGGGACUGAGACACGGUCCAGACUCCUACGGGAGGCAGCAGUAGGGAAUCUUCCGCAAUGGGCGAAAGCCUGACGGAGCAACGCCGCGUGAGUGAUGAAGGUCUUCGGAUCGUAAAACUCUGUUAUUAGGGAAGAACAUAUGUGUAAGUAACUGUGCACAUCUUGACGGUACCUAAUCAGAAAGCCACGGCUAACUACGUG
rnacentral:rRNA from 1 species